UACGAACUGUGCAAACGUUAUUCGGAAUCACUGGGCUUACAGGGUGCGUAGGCGGCUUGCUAAGUCGGGUGUGAAAGCCCCCGGCUUAACCGGGGAAUGGCGCCCUAAACUGGCGAGCUGGAGUGAGAUAGGGGUGUGCGGAACUUCCGGUGGAGCGGUGAAAUGUGUUGAUAUCGGAAGGAACGCCGGUGGCGAAAGCGACUUCCUGGACCAGUACCGACGUUCAGGCACGAAAGCGUGGGGAGCAAACAGG
rnacentral:rRNA from 1 species